AGUGAACGCUGGCGGCAGGCCUAAUACAUGCAAGUCGAACGGCAGCACAGUGGAGCUUGCUCCAUGGGUGGCGAGUGGCGGACGGGUGAGGAAUACGUGGGAAUCUGCCCAGUCGUGGGGGAUAACGUAGGGAAACUUACGCUAAUACCGCAUGCGCCCUUCGGGGAAAGCCGGGACCGUUCGGCCUGGCGCGAUUGGAUGAGCCCACCGUCGGAUUAGCUAGUUGGCGGGGUAACGGGCCCACCAAGGCGACGAUCCGUAGCUGGUCUGAGAGGAUGAUCAGCCACACUGGAACUGAGACACGGUCCAGACUCCUACGGGAGGCAGCAGUAGGGAAUAUUGGACAAUGGGC
rnacentral:rRNA from 1 species